GCAGCUGUGGGGCAGGUCCAGGGUCUGCGGCAAAGAAAGUGGCCCCUUGGGUAACCCAGGGCAGGGCCGUGAAACGGGGGCAGCGUGGCCUGCAAGCACUUGUAAGUCCUUGUCCAUCCCCUGCCCCCGGGCAGGUGGCAUGACCACGGCUGGCAGCUGUGACAGCCACGGGGUGGGGGGGGGGGGCAGGAGGCAUGCUCUCAGGGUGCCGAAUUAGGCCCUGCCUCAAGCAUUGCUUGUGCGAUCCCCGGAGGGGGGUCCUCUCCCCCAGCAGCUUCUGAGAUCUCCACCUACAAAGACACUAGUCCCUGCACUGAAGCUGCAGGUGUCAUCAGGCUCGUGAAGAGGUUUAUUUUCCAGAUGAUACAUGAAGGGUCCGCCCUCUUCUUUUUUUUUCUUCCUGUGAUGGGGUCGAAUUUUGUCUGCAUAAAAAGAGUUUGGCUGGGGCCACGGAAUAAUUUAGGCCAAGGACGUUUGGUGGGUGCUCCUGGGAUGGGGAAUUGAAGAGCCAGCGUGUCUCGUCCAUCCCUUUCUGCCCUGAGUCAGCAAGCACGGAGCCCAAGGGCUUGAGAGGGCAGUGCCGCACGCAGGAUGGAGGGAGCUGGGUGCCUGAGAGGGGGCUGUCCCGGGGAGAGAGCCCUCUGCCAACCCACACAGAACGUCACUUGCAGGAGAACUAUAGUUUGGGUUGCCUUAUCAGCCCUCGGGCCAAAUGUUGCAAAGAGCAGCUCAGCGAAGCACAUUUUGAAACGUCCAGAACUUGCCCUGGGAUCAAGACACCUGCUGGGGUCCCUUGGAUAAUAACAGACUAUGGAUUGUGCUCUGUGCUGCGUAAGGCCUGUGACCUCGGCGGGGCCACUUAACUUCUGUGCCUCUGCUGCCAAACCUGUCAAACAGGGUCCUGCCAGUACCUUCCCAUAUGGCUGUUGUGAAGCGUGUGUAAAACCCGCAGAGCAGGCCAACAGUUCCUGGCUCAUGGUCUGCGUGACUGGCCACCACCAGCCCUGCCAUCUGCACGGGAGAUGGAUGUGUCAUUGAUAAACGACUCCUGGUGUGAUACGGGCCUGGCCGAGAUAUAACACCUGGACGCCGGAUCCCAGAUGAGUGUGUAUCUGGAACUGCCCAUCAUGAACCAAGGGCUAUUAUGGCCACGGAGUCAUGCAGUCAGGGAGGCCAGCAGCAGCUCAUCGUAAAUGGGAAGUGGUAUGGCUGGGACCGAGGCCAUGGGGACGUGGGGCUCCAGCAAGCUGCACGAGCACGCGGGCCGGCCCCUCACUUUGGCUGUCCUGUUGCACGAGCGUCCCCCUCCCUCCAUUCAUGAAGGGCCACACAGGAGCAUACCUGAUAAACCACAUGGCAGGAGCCAAAACCCAAGCUUCAGUUACAGAUGAGUUGGUUCCAUAUGUAGGUUCACGGUGAACGUGAACGGAGUGGCCCUGAAGAACAGCGGCAAGAGAAAGUCCUUCCAACAGGCAGACCUUUGGGCAGUGCGUCUGAUGUCCUACUUUGUGCACAGGGAAAAGCAGCCAGACGUUAGAACAUGCACCGAGGCCUGGGCGGAGAGAAAGUGGAAGAUUGGUCGGAGGCACGUGGAUGCACGUGGGAGUGACAUCAGGUGUGAAGCCCUUUGCCUCACAUGCUAAAUCCCACUGAGAGUGCCCUCUGCGGAGGAAGCAGUCUGUCCCCAAGCAGACAGAGGGCUUGGCUGUCUGACAUCAGCCAACUCCAGGCACUGGCCACCGUGGUGCUGGCACAAGGGACAUGAGGGAAGUAGCCACAGUCGGAGGGAUGGGACCACCAUGCCUGGGCUCCCACAAGCAGCAUCGGCUCCUCCGAACCCAGGCUGAGUUUGGCCUUGUUGCUCAUGACCAUCCACCCUGCCAGCAAGAGAGCAAACCCCUAGCCCACCGCAGAACACCAUCCCUCGGUGGCAAGUUAAUUACUGGGGGUCCCUUCCAUCCUGCAAGGGCUCAUGAUUCAUGAUCACAGGACAGUGUCUAUUCCAAAAAGCAUCAUCAUUAAAUAAUCCCAACUGGUAAGAAAUAGAUUUGUUUCAGUUCCCAGACUCAUCACUCAGACGGAUUGUGCGAGAAGCUGUUGUUGAUCACGGUUUCCUGCGGUGAUCUAUGCCAAGCUCUUGGGCUCUCCUCCUAUGAACUAUGAAAUGAUCCCCGGGGAUUCUUUCCCCUGCGCUUUUGCCAGCAGUCCGUCCAUGAACUUAAACCACUCAGCACUCGCCCGAUUGCCUUUGGGAUGUCUUCUGGAUUUGGAGGGCUGUGAAUGUCGCUGGAUUGCAAUCUUUGCUAUCAGCUAAAUGAUGGUGGACGUUGUAAAAGCCUGCUAAUGUCAUUAUAAAAUGAUUACUUGUGCUAUACAAAUACUUUCUUCUCUUAUCCUUUGGAAGAGUGACAAGUCUCAUAGUUCACCUUCCUCUGUGAAUUUCUAAGUGAUCAAGGAGUGGUGGUGGCAAUCCAGGUGUUUUUAAACAACGCUUUCUUGGGCAUGCAGGACUUGAGUUAGGGAGGGGGAGAAGGACUGUGUCUCUCCUGCUAAUAACUAGGAUAGAACAAAGCUUGCAGGGGUACCUGGGUGGCUCAGUUGGUUAAGCGUCCGACUCUUGGUUUCAGCUCAGGUAGUGAUCUCAGGGUCCUGAGGUCCAGUCCUGCAUUAGGCUCU